CAGCAGCCACGGGAAUACGAAGGGUGCAAGCGUUACUCGGAAUUACUGGGCGUAAAGCGUGCGUAGGUGGUGGUUUAAGUCCGUUGUGAAAGCCCUGGGCUCAACCUGGGAAUUGCAGUGGAUACUGGGUCACUAGAGUGUGGUAGAGGAUAGUGGAAUUUCCGGUGUAGCAGUGAAAUGCGUAGAGAUCGGAAGGAACAUCUGUGGCGAAGGCGACUAUCUGGGCCAACACUGACACUAAGGCACGAAAGCGUGGGGAGCAAACAGGAUUAGAUACCCCGGUAGUCCCUGUCUCUUAUAC
rnacentral:rRNA from 1 species